UUUAUGCUGCAUCGUAUUCUUUCAUUAAACAAGUGGAGGAAAUUAAGAAAUAGACUACAGCUCUGGUGGGUAUUAAAAUCUGUCCAAUAAGAUAAGUCGAAUAGCUAACUGUCAGGAGAGUUAGGCUGAGCAAAGAAAAGGGCCGCCAUAUUAAAAUUGGAAAAUUGACUACUUAUUUGAUAAUUAUCAGCCUUGGGCUACCUAUGGUAGAAGUGAUCUCAGCUAUUGGGGAGACUGAGGCAAGCACAUCUCUUGGACUUGGAAGCUGAGCUUCAUUGGGCUAUUGUCAAUCAGGUAGUAAUUCCUUAGGGGUAAAUUUUGCAUCAAUACCUAUAUAGAGCCCCUGAGCUCCACCAGUCUUGUUCAGGUCAGAAACAGAGCAUGUUAAAGCUUCCAGGCUUAUCAGUGCUGAGAUAUGACCUACAAGAAUAGCCUAAGAGAGCCGGGGAUGAUCCAAUCUUAAAAAAACAAAACAGAACAGAAUCCACCCCUCCCCCAUCAAAUAAAUAAAUGCCUUAAUUAUGCUAAUGGCCUAGUUGUAAACUGAGAGAAUAAAAGACCAAUCCAAGGAUGGCAAAAUACAGUCCAGGUCUUGCCUUUCCACCCUUCCCAGCAACCAAGAAAAUUGAAGCAUGAUGGGAAAGUGAAAAUCUAGAAUUUGUCUGGAAUUUACAUAUCACAGGACCAAAAACCUUGAUGGCAGUGGCUGAGAUGGCUUCACUUGUUUCAGUACAUAUUACUGGAACUGGUCAGCAACUACAAGUCAAUGAAUAAACAAUUGCAAAAGCCCCAAGCAACAGGACUGUCAAUAUGGUCAUCAGUGAAGCGUGAAGAAUCUGAAUCUUGUUUUUCAUAAAUUACUUAAAUCAUUUUUGUUCUUUGAUAUAUUUGCUUCAUACUAAUUCAUACCAUCAUAUUCUCCCCAUGCAUGAUGCAUCUGUAAAUUGGAAAAACCGUUUUAUCUUGAAAGUAGGAUGUCACCGUAAACAAGUUAUCAUCAGUUAAAUUGAGCCACCUACUAUGCCAGUAAUUUCCUUAAUUUAUUUAGAAAAUGCAUUCAGCACAUAAAGAUCCCCAGGUUCAAAUACAAAGAAUUGAAAGAAGUGAAUAUUUAAAGCAAUGAUGGGACAAUUUCCCAGGAUACUGAAUCUUUCUGAGUCAUAUUAAUAAAGCUUUGCCUUAAUAAGACAAAUAAAUUAAGAGGUCCAAACACAAAGACUAUCCCUGAAUGUCCUUCCUUUUGGAUUUCUUUGAAUCACAGUGGUAGUCUAGCCAUUGUUAGAUAAUAUUCAGCAUUAUCUACUUUUCAACUUAUGUUAAUGGCCUUGCAUAGAAACUUGACAUUUCAGUGCUUAGUUGAGAAUGAAUUCGUUGUGGACUGUGCUAUAUAGCAAAGGCAGAAUUCUUGCUAGAACUAGGCUAUUUGUUAAAGGCCCAUGGGACUGGUGGGAUUUUGAAAUUUCAAAAAUUCCUAAUUCUCUGGGGCCAGAGGUUUAUUAAAUACCUUCUUAUUAAAUUCCUAUUAAAUUCCCUUCAGGGAGAUUGAGUUAUUUUGGAAUGAGAAUACAAAAUAGGGACUGCAGAAAAUUCUGUUUGGUAAUGGGACUGAUUAUGCUGAGUUCUAUGAAAGAGGAGAGGAAGAUGUGGUUGAGAAGGAACUCUAGUCUGUGUCAGAACCUGGCAGAAACACAAGGAGAGACAAGGAGUUAAUAGCCAGUAGCUUUGGUCAGAAGGAUUUAGGAAGUUGCACAUGUCAAAGACAUCAACAUCAGCUAGAGAUCAGGCAGUGUAAAUGAGGUGCUGGGGCUAGAGCUGGAAAUAGGUAAAGACUGAAACCAAAUUGAAGCCAGUUUGAUUACUGAGAGAUAGGAUAAAAUCCAACAGGAUGUUAAAAAGAGGCAGAAUGAAUGAAUGAAAAAGCUUUUCUUAAACAUUUACUAUAUACAAAGCAAAAACCUUAAACUUAGAAGCAAGGUAUAAAAAAUUACUGAAAUCCAUGAUAAAAAAGACCUCGUACUGAAGUGGGUCCCUCUUGAUACAGAAAGGAGGAAACCCAGAUCUGGUAAGCCUUCUCACUGUGCCCAUCACCUCGAAGUCUGUGGAUGUCUGUGUCUGAGGAGUCAUUGUUCACCGUUUCCUUUGGAAGUAUCAGGUCCCUAGCUUAACUUUAUAAGAGAAACCACUAUAUGGAAAGUCAGAAUUCUGACCUCACAGUUACUUACUGUAGGGGUAAGAAAUGAGGAUAAGGGAAUAUUUCAGGGGGGAUAUUACCUAUUCAAAAGCCACUCAAUUCAAAAUAAUCUGUGCCAACGAAACAAUACUGGUAAAGGUUGUUGCUGCAAGUACCAUCACUACUGAAGAUUCACUUGUGAAUGCCCUCCACAGGUGGCUGGAGGUGAGAAACUCUUCACAGUCCUAGGAAGAACAUCCAUCUCAGUCAAGUCCAUCCUCCUCUAUCAUAUGGAUAAUUAUGCUCUGUCCUUCAAUAAACUUGAAUAUGUCAGUUAUACAUUGAAUUACUUUUUUUAGU